UAAGUCUGCUGUGGAGUGGUACCUUAAAAUCCUAAAGCCUGAUUUAUGCUUCUGCAACACUGUGGCCAUGCAGUGACGUUGAUGUGCGCGUGACCCUUUUAAAGUUCUCUGUCGCGUCUUUAUGCACUUUAAACGGUAAAUGUAAAUG